rnacentral:rRNA from 1 species
CCUAUGAUAAGUAUUAAAUGGCUGCAGUAUUUUAACUGUACAAAGGUAGCAUAAUAAAUAGUUUCUUAAUUGGGNGCUUGUAUGAAAGGGUUUAUGAAUUAUAAUUUUUAUUUUAUUUAUUUUUAGAAUUUUAUUUCUAAGUAAAAAAGCUUAGUUUUUUUUUUGGGACNAAAAGACCCUAUAGAACUUAAUUAAUUUANNNAUUUAUUAUUUAUUUUUUGUUUAA